rnacentral:rRNA from 1 species
GAUGAACGCUGGCGGCGUGCCUAAUACAUGCAAGUCGAGCGAAGCGGGGACGGGUGAGUAACACGCGGAUAACCCCCUAUAAGACUGGGAUAACUUCGGGAAACCGGAGCUAAACCGGAUACUUAUAGUUGAAUCUGCGCUGCAUUAGCUAGUUGGUAAGGUAACGGAUUACCAAGGAAACGAGGCAUAGCAGACCUGAGAGGGUGAUCGGCAACUCGGGAACGGGGACACGGUCCAGCCUCCUACGGGAGGCAGCAGUAGGGAUUCUUCCGCAAUGGGCGAAAGCCUAACGGAGCAACGCCGCGUGAGUGAUGAAGGUCUUCGGAGCGUAAAACUCUGUUAUUGGGGAAGCGGUACCUAAUCAGAAAGCCACGGCUAACUCCGUGCCAGCAGCCGCGGUAAUUC